UACGUAGGGGGCGAGCGUUGUCCGGAUUUACUGGGCGUAAAGCGCGUGUAGGCGGAAGCUUAAGCGCGGCCUGAAAGCCCCCGGCUCAACCGGGGAGGGCGGUCGCGAACUGGGCUUCUUGAGAGCGACAGAGGAGCGUGGAAUUCCUGGUGUAGCGGUGAAAUGCGCAGAUAUCAGGAGGAACACCAAUGGCGAAGGCAGCACUCUGGGACGUGACUGACGCUGAGACGCGAAAGCGUGGGGAGCAAACAGG
rnacentral:rRNA from 1 species